rnacentral:misc_RNA from 1 species
AAGUCGUAACAAGGUAACCGUAGGUGAACCUGCGGUUGGAUCAUUAAAAGAAGGGUCGGGAUCACCAAGGUCCAAUCCAAGGAAAAAGGCCUUGGUGAUCCCGGAGGAAGGAAGCAGGGGCGGGUCGUUCUGGCUCCCCGGCCCUGCUUUUGUCCCCACGUUGUGUGUGAGUCUUUUUUACUUUUUUUUUUCUUGUCCUUUUGGACGCGAAAACCAAAGAAAACAACUUUUGGCAACGGAUCUCUUGGCUCUC